UACGUAGGGGGCUAGCGUUGUCCGGAAUCAUUGGGCGUAAAGCGCGUGUAGGCGGUCCGGUAAGUCCGCUGUGAAAGUCGGGGGCUCAACCCUCGGAUGCGGGUGGAUACUGCUGGGCUAGAGUCCGGAAGAGGCGAGUGGAAUUCCCGGUGUAGCGGUGAAAUGCGCAGAUAUCAGGAGGAACACCAAUGGCGAAGGCAGCACUCUGGGACGUGACUGACGCUGAGACGCGAAAGCGUGGGGAGCAAACAGG
rnacentral:rRNA from 1 species